rnacentral:rRNA from 1 species
UACGUAGGUGGCAAGCGUUGUCCGGAUUUACUGGGCGUAAAGAGCGCGCAGGCGGUCGUUCAAGUCGAGUGUGAAAGCCCCCGGCUCAACUGGGGAGGGUCACUCGAUACUGAUCGACUCGAAGGCAGAAGAGGGAAGCGGAAUUCCCGGUGUAGUGGUGAAAUGCGUAGAUAUCGGGAGGAACCCCAGAGGCGAAGGCGGCGUCCUGGCUCGCAUCUGACGCUCAGACACGACAGCAUGGGGAGCGAACGGG